rnacentral:rRNA from 1 species
AGCAGCAGCCGCGGUAAUACGUAGGUCCCGAGCGUUGUCCGGAUUUAUUGGGCGUAAAGCGAGCGCAGGCGGUUAGAUAAGUCUGAAGUUAAAGGCUGUGGCUUAACCAUAGUACGCUUUGGAAACUGUUUAACUUGAGUGCAGAAGGGGGGAGUGGAAUCCCAUGUGUAGCGGUGAAAUGCGUAGAUAUAUGGAGGAACACCGGUGGCGAAAGCGGCUCUCUGGUCUGUAACUGACGCUGAGGCUCGAAAGCGUGGGGAGCAAACAGGAUUAGAUACCCCGGUAGUCCCUGUCUCUUAUACA